rnacentral:rRNA from 1 species
AACGAACGCUGGCGGCAUGCCUAACACAUGCAAGUCGAACGAGACCUUCGGGUCUAGUGGCGCACGGGUGCGUAACGCGUGGGAACCUGCCCUUAGGUUCGGAAUAACUCCCCGAAAGGGGUGCUAAUACCGGAUAAUGUCUUCGGACCAAAGAUUUAUCGCCUUUGGAUGGGCCCGCGUUGGAUUAGCUAGUUGGUAGGGUAAAAGCCUACCAAGGCGACGAUCCAUAGCUGGUCUGAGAGGAUGAUCAGCCACACUGGGACUGAGACACGGCCCAGACUCCCACGGGAGGCAGCAGUGGGGAAUAUUGGACAAUGGGCGAAAGCCUGAUCCAGCAAUGCCGCGUGAGUGAUGAAGGCCGUAGGGUUGUAAAGCUCUUUUACCCGGGAUGAUAAUGACAGUACCGGGAGAAUAAGCUCCGGCUAACUCCGUG